CACCCUUGUUAACUUAGCUGUCAAGAACAAAUAAAUCAAAUUAAUCAUUCUACUUCAACAACAAACAACUACAGUCAACAAAAUCAGUUUUGAGGUUUUCUUUGAUCUGCUAUGUUUCCUUUGUCACAUACUAUUUUCACAACGUGAAGUCCACAAAAGCGCGCUGUAUUUAGGUGCAGAUUAGCAUCCUCCUGUCUGGAGAUGCGAAGCAGCUGUGCAUACCAUAGCACUCAUCACCAACCAGUUUUUGCGCGUUUCAUCCCGCUUGAACUAAAAGGAGAUAGACUACCCCUUGGUUGGGGGCUCUCUUCUCUAAAAUUGUUGUUCAGCAAAGCAAGCUCUCUAAGCUGUUGCCUUUUAUAUAAGUCCUGCGACUCAUCCACAGGUCUGAGCAACUCUUCAAUAAUUUGGCUAGCUUGUUUCAUUCGUACAUCCACUAUAUUGAUGGGUAAGUCUGCCUCAAGUAGAACAUGCAGUGGCUCAUUGAGGUGCUCAUAACCUGGAAGACCUCUCAGACUCUCCUCUUUUUCAGCAUCUUUUAUUGAACCCUUUCCUCUGAUAAAUACCCGACAUCCAGUAGAUGCUUCCACUCGCUUCAGAGAAUUACCUCGAGGACCUAAAAGCCGUCCAACAAAGUUGAAAUUCGGAUAUCUGUCCACAGGUAUAUCCAAGCGCAACACCCGCUUCACAACAAAUGAACUUGGACUCCCUGGUGAAGCUUGCCAGUCGAUGGGCCUUCCCUGUGGUCCACCUAAUCUUUGCUCUUGAAAGGCGUUCCAUCCAUUCCCAUUCCAACCACCUAAACCUUUUCCUCCAACAUGUUGCAUCAUGUCAAUUGAACCCACAGGACUAGGGCUUCCACGUUGUAGUCUGUCAUAGUCACUGAGUACUUGAUUGGGAAUCAUUCCAGAAAGUCUAAGUAUUUCUUGAUUCAAGAGUCGGCUGCAGAUUGGAAGAACUUGUGUAAAGGGUCCAAGCUUCUGCCUUUC
rnacentral:misc_RNA from 1 species